UGGGGAAUAUUGCACAAUGGGCGCAAGCCUGAUGCAGCCAUGCCGCGUGUAUGAAGAAGGCCUUCGGGUUGUAAAGUACUUUCAGCAGUGAGGAAGGAGGUAUCGUUAAUAGCGGUAUCUUUUGACGUUAGCUGCAGAAGAAGCACCGGCUAACUCCGUGCCAGCAGCCGCGGUAAUACGGAGGGUGCGAGCGUUAAUCGGAAUUACUGGGCGUAAAGCGCAUGCAGGUGGUUUGUUAAGUCAGAUGUGAAAGCCCGGGGCUCAACCUCGGAAUUGCAUUUGAAACUGGCAGGCUAGAGUACUGUAGAGGGGGGUAGAAUUUCAGGUGUAGCGGUGAAAUGCGUAGAGAUCUGAAGGAAUACCGGUGGCGAAGGCGGCCCCCUGGACAGAUACUGACACUCAGAUGCGAAAGCGUGGGGAGCAAACAGGAUUAGAUACCCCCGUAGUCC
rnacentral:rRNA from 1 species